rnacentral:ncRNA from 1 species
CAGAGUAGGAGCAGCGCGUUAAGUGCCGUGGGAUGGGAAGUUGUCCACGGACGAAACACAGAGUGUGCGGUGCUGUCUCCGCUUCCGCUGC